UACGAAGGGGGCUAGCGUUGCUCGGAAUCACUGGGCGUAAAGCGCACGUAGGCGGAUUGCUAAGUCAGGGGUGAAAUCCUGGAGCUCAACUCCAGAACUGCCUUUGAUACUGGCGACCUUGAGUCCGGGAGAGGUGAGUGGAACUGCGAGUGUAGAGGUGAAAUUCGUAGAUAUUCGCAAGAACACCAGUGGCGAAGGCAGCUCACUGGCCCGGUACUGACGCUGAGGUGCGAAAGCGUGGGGAGCAAACAGG
rnacentral:rRNA from 1 species